UGAUGCCGGCGGCGGCGGCGCGCGGUGCUUCGGGGGGCCCGAGUGCUCGGGGCUGAGCGCAGCAGGGACGGCUGUGGGUGGCAGCUGAUCUCGGGGUGAUGGGAAUGUCCGUCCUGCGGGAUGCGCUCACACACGCCUCUUUCCUCGCAGCUGAGUGCUGGUCCGCUGAGGAGCUCCUCCCCGCAGGGUCCGGGGAUGGAGCAGCGCUUGGGCAAGAUGUCCUCGAAGCAGUUCUGCAGGAGGGCGCGCCGGGAGCCCUAUCUGCGUCAGGCUGGGCCAUCGCCUCCACGUGCUCAUGGCCCCCGGGAUGCCUGGCGCAAUCCUCCAUGGGAGCAGCAGCACCGAAGAGCUGGGGGAAGAAUGCGUCUGCCCGGUGCCAGGCAGCCCAGGCCUUUCCCUGGCCCUGCUAACAUCCACCAGUACGAGGAGAAUUGGAGAUGGGCCCCCCAGAACCGUGAUGUGCCACCACCUCCCUGGAUGUACAGAGAGGACCAUCAGAGCCAUGAGAUACCACAGCUGCGUCACCGGGACUUCUUUGCCCAGCCUGAGUUCCCCAGCCAGGAGCAGCGUCCUGCUGGAUUCCCUCGGGAGCAAGAAGACAACUGCUCACCCCAGCGCCAUUGUGGCCCACGCCGGAGACGCUGCCGACUCCUUCGGCCCAUCCAGCAGGAGACAGCAGACAACAGCUGUUCUCCCCACAGCUCCCAAGGGUACCAUCCAUCCUCCAAGCCCUCUCAGUCCUGCUCCCCAGAGAGCCAGCUGGGGCUCAGAGAGCAUCUCGCUGCUCCCCAGUCACCUGCUGCCUGCAAAAACAGUCUGCAAAGCGCGCAGCAGGUGGAUGAGGGCCAGCGGGUGGCAAGCAGUGAGGCACUGGAACGGCCCAGGCGUGCAGAGAAGAGCUCAGAGAAGAGCCCGGGCACUGACCCCCAGGCAGCGGAGCAGAAGCCAGCGGCAGGAGCAAAGCCAGUUGGGCCUGAAGGAGGAGAGGGAGCUGCAGGCAACCAGCAGCUCUCUGCCCUGGAGUUGGAGCCGGUCUCCUCGGAGACAACCAGCACCAGCGAGGAGGAAGGCUUGGAGCUGGCUGCAGGCUUCCAGAGCUCACCCCGCCCCCUGCGCUCCGCACUUUCCCCCACCAGCACAGACCUGCGCUCUGCUGCCAUCCUCACCAAGAAGGAGAGCAUCGAGCAGGGGUACCACGACUUCUGCCUCAGCUUUGCCCUGGUGUCCUCGCUGCUGCUGCAGAAGGAGCCCUCCAUGGAGGCGAUGCUGAUGAAGGCACUGAGAGCCAACCUGUGCGACCUCCGCAACCGCCUCCUGGAUGAGAUGGAGGACUUCAUCCAGCAGUACGAUGCGACGCACCCCAGCUGCUGA
rnacentral:lncRNA from 1 species